rnacentral:rRNA from 1 species
UACAGAGGUCUCGAGCAUUAGGCGGAAUCACUGGGCUUAAAGCGUGUGUAGGUGGAUCGUUAAGUACCUUGUGAAAUCCCACGGCUUAACCGUGGAACUGCUUGGUAUACUGGCGGUCUUGAGCCAGCUAGGGGCUACCGGAACAAAUGGUGGAGCGGUGAAAUGCGUAGAUAUCGGGAGGAACACCAAUGGCGAAGGCAGCUCGCUGGGACGGUACUGACGCUGAGGCGCGAAAGCGUGGGGAGCAAACAGG